UACGGAGGGUGCGAGCGUUGUCCGGAAUCACUGGGCGUAAAGGGCGCGUAGGCGGCCCGGCAAGUCAACGGUGAAAGCUUGGGGCUCAACCCCGAGUCGGCCGUCGAUACUUCCGGGCUGGAGCACUGUAGAGGCAGGUGGAAUUCCGGGUGUAGCGGUGGAAUGCGUAGAGAUCCGGAAGAACACCGGUGGCGAAGGCGGCGACCUGGUCCUAUACUGACACUCAUACACGAAAGCGUGGGGAUCAAACAGG
rnacentral:rRNA from 1 species